GAUGAACGCUGGCGGCGUGCUUAAUACAUGCAAGUCGAACGGAAACAGUAGCAAUAUUGUUUUAGUGGCGAACGGGUGAGUAACGCGUUGGUGACCUGCCCCGAAGAGAGGGAUAACAGUUCGAAAGGAUUGCUAAUACCUCAUGCGGUCAUAUGGUUUAGAAGCUUAUGACUAAACGGAUUUAUUCGCUUCGGGAGGGGCCUGCGUCCCAUCAGCUAGUUGGUAAGGUAUGGCUUACCAAGGCGAUGACGGGUAGGGACCUGAGAGGGUGCCCCCCA
rnacentral:rRNA from 1 species